UCUUUAAUGACGUCUCUUUGGUUCAGAUAAUGUUGCAUCUUUUGAAUAUUGAACCUAAUCAAUGUCCUUGUUUGGUCCGGGCAGACACACCUGAGCUGAACCUCACCUGAUCCUGUUUGGUCGGGGAUAGACACACCUGAGCUGAACCCGCCCUGAUCCUGACAUCCUGCUGGUCCUGCCUCCUCAGUUCAUCUGAGCCUCGUCCUCCAGAAGACCUGCUGAGCUCAGCGGUCUGAGGCUGAUGGAUCAAUGACCUUCAGUGGGAGUGAUCUUCUUGACCCCACAUGUACCCGUGUGCUUCCUCACGCCUUUCCCUCACGUCUGUCACUAACCUCACUACUUCACUACUCUCUACUCCUUCACCUUCUUCUUCCUUCUCCGUGGUUCAAACCUUUACUCUGAAGGAGUGUCUUCCUGCCCUCAGAGGGUUCAGCGUUAGGGUUGAGAGUCAGGGACAGAGCUGGUCAGGGAGGGCUGGUUUUACACAAACCUCUUCACUUACUUUCUGAAUGGUGGUGACUGCUUAAAAAUAUGUAGACCAUAUAUAUGUAACCAGACCAGGAGUCCAUGGCUGAAGGAGCUGAUGGAGGAGCCGAGCUGAAGGCCCUGCCUGGUGGAGGAGCUGUGCUGAAGGCCCUGCCUGAUGGAGGAGCUGUGCUGAAGGCCCUGCCUGGUGGAGGAGCUGUGCUGAAGGCCCUGCCUGGUGGAGGAGCUGAUGGAGGCCCUGCCUGGUGGAGGACGUCUGUCGUGGGACCAGGACUCUGUCUGAGGAGAGCUGAUGGAGGAGCUGAGACGCUGGAGGACGACUAGGAAAUUUAUUAAUCGAACAAAGUGGAAAUAAAGGGCUUAAAAAUAAGACAAACUACAUGUUUGUUACCAGACGUUGGGGCCUGACUUGCGCUGUUGGUUCCAGACCAGGACUCGCUGAGGAGGCUGAGGAGAGCUGAUGGAGGAGCCAGGACUCUGGAGGAUAACAUCACACCACCAACAAGGAUCCUCGUAAGUUUGAAAAAAGUAAACAGUGGACUUGUUGUAACGCAGGAUUAGUUUUUCCAGUAGAAGUUAAGGCAUACUACUGUGGUUGGUUACCAGAUCACCUACAUCUGCUACUUUGUUACGCGCCAUUAGAGCCCAACUACUCCUGUGUUUGUUACCUUACAUUAGAGACAAACUACUACUGAUUUUGUGACCUUACAUUAGAGACAAACUACUACUGUGUUUGUGACCUUACAUUGGAGACAAAUUAUAUUUGUAACCAGACCAGGAAUCUGGAGGACUGACGAAGAAGCCGUACAUCUGGAAGGCAAAUCCUGAGGACGACCAGGAUUCUACCAUCAAGGAUUCCUCGUAAGUUUGCAUUACCUGGACAUACUGGACUAGGUAGGGGGUUGGUGGUUCAACUCUCAAACCAAUGGUACCGGGUUCAAGUCCUCAGAAUACAGUGAUGCGUCCUUGAGCAAGGCGCCCUAAAGCCUGCCUGCUCCUUAAUGGCGUCUCUUUGGUUUAGAUAAUGUUGCAUCUUUUGAAUAUUGAACCUAAUCAUUGUCCUUGUUUGGUCCGGGCAGACACACCUGAGCUGAACCUCACCUGAUCCUGUUUGGUCGGGGGUAGACACACCUGAGCUGAACCCGCCCUGAUCCUGACAUCCUGCUGGUCCCGUCUCCUCAGUUCAUCUGAGCCUCGUCCUCCAGAAGACCUGCUGAGCUCAGCGGUCUGAGGCUGAUGGAUCAAUGACCUCCAGUGGGAGUGAUCUUCUUGACCCCACAUGUACCCGUAUGCUUCCACACGCCUUUCCCUCACGUCUGUCACUAACCUCACUACUUCACUACUCUCUACUCCUUCCCCUUCUUCUUCCUUCUCCGUGGUUCAAACCUUUACUCUGAAGGAGUGUCUUCUUGAACCUUUACACUGAAGGAGCGUCUUCCUGCCCUCAGAGGGUUCAGCGUUAGGGUUGAGAGUCAGGGUUUAAGUCAGGGACAGAGCUGGUCAGGGAGGGCUGGUUUUACACAAACGUCUUCUCUUGCUUUAUGAAUGACGUUUUGAAAAGAUUCAUCUGGGAAAAUGUUUUCCUCUGCUUUCCUUUACAAAAUAUGUAUUACACUUCUGUCAAUGUUUUUGUUUACAUAUUAAAAUCCCAC
ensembl:lncRNA